UACGGAGGUGGCAAGCGUUGCUCGGAAUCACUGGGCGUAAAGGGCGCGUAGGCGGGGAGGUAAGUCGGGUGUGAAAUCCCUCGGCCCGACCGAGGAACUGCGCCCGAGACUGCUUCUCUUGAGUCCCGGAGAGGAAGAUGGAAUUCCCGGUGUAGCGGUGAAAUGUGUAGAGAUCGGGAGGAACACCGGUGGCGAAGGCGGUCUUCUGGACGGUGACUGACGCUGAGGCGCGAAAGCGUGGGGAGCAAACGGG
rnacentral:rRNA from 1 species